rnacentral:rRNA from 1 species
AUUGAACGCUGGCGGCAGGCCUAACACAUGCAAGUCGAGCGGCAGCGGAAAGUAGCUUGCUACUUUGCCGGCGAGCGGCGGACGGGUGAGUAAUGUCUGGGAAACUGCCUGAUGGAGGGGGAUAACUACUGGAAACGGUAGCUAAUACCGCAUAACGUCGCAAGACCAAAGAGGGGGGCCUUCGGGCCUCAUGCCAUCAUAUGUGUCCAGAUGGGAUUAGCUAGUAGGUGGGGUAACGGCUCACCUAGGCGACGAUCCCUAGCUGGCCUGAGGGGAUGAGCAGAGACACUGGAGCGGAGACACGAGCCAGACUACUACGGGAGGCAGCAGUGGGGAAUAUUGCACAAGGGGCGCAAGGCUGAUGCAGCCAUGCCGCGUAUAUGAAGAAGGCCUUCGGGUUGUAAAGUACUUUCAGCGGGGAGGAAGGUGUUGAGGUUAAUAACCUCAGCAAUUGACGUUACCCGCAGAAGAAGCACCGGCUAACUCCGUGCCAGCCGCCGCAGUAA